rnacentral:rRNA from 1 species
AACGAACGCUGGCGGCAGGCUUAACACAUGCAAGUCGAACGCAUCCUUCGGGGUGAGUGGCAGACGGGUGAGUAACGCGUGGGAACGUGCCCUUCAGUUCGGGAUAACCCAGGGAAACUUGGGCUAAUACCGGAUACGUGCGAGAGCAGUAAGAUUUAUCGCUGAAGGAUCGGCCCGCGUCUGAUUAGCUAGUUGGUGGGGUAAUGGCCCACCAAGGCGACGAUCAGUAGCUGGUCUGAGAGGAUGAUCAGCCACAUUGGGACUGAGACACGGCCCAAACGCCUUCGGGAGGCAGCAGUGGGGAAUAUGGGACAAUGGUGGCAAGCCUGAGCCAGCCAUGCGGCGUGAGUGAUGAAGGCGUUAGGGUUGUAAAGCUCUUUCGUGCGGGACGAUAAUGACGGUACCGGAAGAAGAAGCCCCGGCUAACUUCGUGCCAGCCGCCGCAGUAACAC